rnacentral:tRNA from 1 species
CGGGGUAUGGCGCAGUUUGGUAGCGCGCUUGACUGGGGGUCAAGAGGCCGCAGGUUCAAGUCCUGUUACUCCGA